rnacentral:tRNA from 1 species
GGGGUUGUGGCUCAGUGGUAGAGUGCUCGCCUAGCACAUGAGAGACCCUGGGUUCGAUCCUCUGCACCA